AACGGCGAGUGAAGAGGAAAGAGCUCAAAGUUGGAAACUGUUUGGCUUAGCUAAACCGUAUUGUAAACUGUAGAAACAUUUUCCUGGCACACCAGAUUAAUAAGUCCUUUGGAACAAGGCAUCAUGGAGGGUGAGAAUCCCGUCUUUGAUCUGAGUAGUUGUCUUUUGUGAUAUGUUUUCAAAGAGUCAGGUUGUUUGGGAAUGCAGCCUAAAUUGGGUGGUAAAUCUCACCUAAAGCUAAAUAUUUGCGAGAGACCGAUAGCGAACAAGUACCGUGAGGGAAAGAUGAAAAGAACUUUGAAAAGAGAGUUAAACAGUAUGUGAAAUUGUUAAAAGGGAACCGUUUGGAGCCAGACUGGUUUGACUGUAAUCAACCUAGAAUUCGUUUUGGGUGCACUUGCAGUCUAUACCUGCCAACAACAGUUUGAUUUGGAGGAAAAAAUUAGUAGGAAUGUGGCCUCUCGAGGUGUUAUAGCCUACUAUCAUACUCUGGAUUGGACUGAGGAACGCAGCGAAUGCCUUUAGGCGAGAUUGCUGGGUGCUUUCGCUAAUAAAUGUUAGAAUUUCUGCUUCGGGUGGUGCUAAUGUUUAAAGGAGGAACACAUCUAGUAUAUUUUUU
rnacentral:rRNA from 1 species